GUUAGCAUUUAUUUUUCUAUUUACCAGUCAUUUGGAAUUUGGACAUUUUCUGUCCUGUGGUUGUGGUGAGGGUGUGGGUUUUGUGUUGUUUUAUAUAUUCUUUGUUAUUUUUUAUUCUAGUUUUUGUUUUUGUUUUGGAAGGUAUUUUAGAGAAAUAAGAUUUCUGUGGUUACCAUGACCUGCUGUUACAGAUUACAUGGUACCCUCUCUUCAUAUGUUGAAGUCCUAGCCACCCCGCCGAACCUCAGAAUGUGACUGUAUUUGGAGAUAGGGUCUUUACAGAGGAAAUCAAGUUAAAAUGAAGUCAUUAGGGCAGGCCCUAAUCCGAUAUGAUCCUGUGUUCUUAGAAGAGGAAAUGUGGACUCAGGUGUGUAUGGAGGGAAGAUGUCUUGCAAGCCCAAGGAGAAGAUGGCCAUCUGAGCCCACGUCCUGGAACAGAGACUUCCCUCACAGCCUCAGAAAGAACCAGCCCUGCUGACGUCUUGAUCUCAGACCUCCAGCCUCCAGAACUGGGAGACGAUUCAGUCAGCAUCUACACAACACAGGGUUGAACUGUGCGGGUCCACUUCUAUGCAGAUUAUUUUCUUUUUUCUUUUUUGAGACAGAGUCUCGCCCGGUUGCUCAGGCUGAAGUGUAGUGGUGUGAUCUUGGCUUACUGCAGCUUCCACCUCCCAGGUGCAAGUGAUUCUCCUGCCUCAGCUUCCCAAGUAGCUGGGACUAUGGGUACUCGCCACCACACCUGGCUAAUUUUUGUAUUUUUAGUAGAGAUGGGGUUUCACCAUGUUGGUCAGGCUGGUCUUGAACUCCUGACCCCAAGUGAUCUGCCUGCCUUGGCCUCCCAGAUUGCUGGGAUUACAGGUGUGAGCCACCGUGCCCGGCCCUAUAUAACUCUUUGUGCAAGUUUUUACCCCUAAAAGAUAUCUGCCAUCUCAGCCAUGGAACAGACACUGUAAGAACAUGAAGGCUCAAGGGCAGGGCUGGCUACAUAAUUUGUGGGACCCAUUACAAAAUGAACAUGGAGAAAAAACUAGAAAAAAGUGUAGUACAAGGUACUAUAAUAGAUUUUUCCUUUGAAAACAGUUUAAUACUUAUAAAAUGUAAUAGAGGGAAAUAGUGACACGUGAGUAACAAAAUGGGCGUAUCAAUUGGUCUAUGCUAUUUUUGGUGUUAUAAUUUUACCUAAUAUAAUAAGCAGCAACACUUUGUUAGUGAGACGGGCUUUCACCAUGUUGGCCAGGCUGGUCUGGAACUCCUGACCUCAGGUGAUCCGCCUGCCUCAGCCUUCCAAAGUGCUGGGAUUACAGGUGUGAGCCUCUGCGCCCGGCUGUGAUGUCUUGAUUGAUCAUAGGAUUUUUCUGGCUAUUCUAGCUACUUCCAAUUCGCUUCAGCCAAUUUAGUUGAAGUUUUAUCACUUGUGACUUCAGAGUCCUGGUUAAUAUCCUGUUGCCCUCAGGACAUGCAGGAUGGAGGAAGGCACCAGGGAGCCGAGGGAAGUGAGCAGAGAGGCAGUCACUUCAGGGCCACCAGCAUAGCCCCCGUCACUGUCCACAGACACAGGCCCUUCCCCUUCUCAUGGUUGAGCAGGCUCCACCUCACUUCCGUGUAUGACUUCAUAGACCGUUAGGUUCCGUGGUACCCUGGAGUCCACAGCUGCUGAAUCUGAAGGGCCAUCAGAAGACUGGCUUCUCCAUGAUGGUUUAUGGACUAAGGCAAAGAUGAGCAGAGCCAUGGCCCUCUUCUUUGUUCUCUGCUGGAUCCAAGAGUCGGGGGUCUCCCUAUGUUUCCCAGGCUGGCCUCGAACUCCUGACCUCAAGUGAUCCUCCCACCUCAGCCUCCCCGAGUGCUGGGAUUAAAGACGUGAGCCACGGCACCUGGCCUGAAUUUUCCUCAAAUUCAAAAAAUCCUGAUGAAGGUUUGGCUAAAAUCUUUGGUGAGUUACCCCACUCCCUGUGGAACCUCAGGCUGGAUUUGAAGAGUUGCGUGCAUGGUCCUCAUUGUCUCCCAGGUAACCUGUUCCCGCUGCUGUGAAGGGAAGGCAGGUGCUCUUCCUUGAGGCUAGAAUCUGUCUACGUGUCACAGUCUCAGGAAAUUAAGCAAAACAGAUGAUAAACACCUCAAAAGGACCCUACUGAGCAUCAGUGGAGCAGAGCAGGGCCAUGUGGGACUGCGGCGUCAGAUGCCACCUCACACUAGCUGUGACACACCUGCCUCGCCAGUUUCUGCUCUGAGGCCCCAAAGCCGAGCUGAACCUCCUCCAGGGGUUCUCAGCCCUAACUGAGCAUGAAAACCCCUGGGGCAAUCCUCUUUUUAACAAUUGAGACAUUCCACACACACCCCACAUCAGAUUUUGGGGUGUGGGGAUAGACCUUCACAUUUGUAGUUUUCUAACCCUCCAGGGGACACUAGGCUGAGACUCAUUGGUCUCCACUCUGAACCUUCCACUGAACAUGUGAGAAAAACUAAGGCCCAGGGAAGUCUUUAGCAGAGAGCUGAGACGGAGAAAAGGGUUCUGAACCACAGCUGUCUGCUGAAGGAAGCUGUCCAAAGGCCAGUGAAGUCUCUCCUGAGGGUGCCUGGGCUGUGCAUCAGGAGUGAAGGUUGAGGGUCACCUUAGGUGUGAGAAGGAGCAACUGGGAGAGUGGCGCUGAUGCUUCCCCCCGGGUUAGGAGGCAUUUGGAUCACAGAGCGAUGCCUGUUCAUUCCUGCUUGCAAGGGAGCAGAUCUCUCGACACCCGAUGGGCCUCUAUUCCGUUCCGGCAGCUGUCCGUGUCAGGAGCGCUGGGCUUGCUCCUCCCCACGGGAGCCAUCACAGAGGCCUCGGGCAGUCUGCAUAGACAACUGCCUGGCAGGUGACCAGGAGGGGAUGCAUGAGCAGAUGCAGGUAGCACUCGCAGUCCCCCUAGCUGUGCCCUCAGCACCUGCUGUCUAGGAGGCAGAAGCCUUGUUCUCGGCCUUGCAGGUGACCCCAGUGUCUCUGAAUUCGGCCCCAUAUGUGUAGGAGGGGAGUGAUUGCAUCUGAAGAUGGGAGUCUGGUUGGGGGUUUGGGAAGCUCCCAUCACCCCUCAAGAGUCCACUGACCAGCCCAGCUCACACCAGGUGGGCCUUGGCACUGGAGGCCACGGCUCAACUCUGCAGUUCCCUCUGGGCAGCAUUUCCAGGGACUCGUAGGUCAGCAUGGUCAUCAAGGACAGGUGGUGAGAGCAGCUCCUCAUUGUCCUGGUGACCCCGAUGGUUCAUUUUCUGGUGUCUCUGUGGUGAGCUCCUGUUACAUCAAGCGAGUGGAAACCACCGAGGACCAACAGCCCUGGAAAUGCACUGAGAAUGCAGGAUGAGUGGGCUUUGUGAGGACUGUUUUCUGUGACUUAGCAAGGAAAGCCUGGAAGGGAAAGUAAAACUGCUUCUUCCCAGGGAAGCCAGAAACCUGAGAACUUAAAAGGGAAGGAGAACUUAAUAUAUUUCAAAAAUGUAACCCUUGUGAAUUAGCAACAGCUUUAUAAACAAAGAGAUUUCCGAGCUUAUAGAAUCUAUUCUGCUUUGUUUCUGCCCCCAUGGCUCCUACCCCUGUUUUUGUGGGUACAAUUUUCAUAUAGAACAUUUUUACACAAGCUUCAAAACUCUCUGAGGACAGCUUUCCCCUUUGUGUCUGUCGGGUCCCAGGCAGUCACAUCCCAGGAAGUGCUGGGGUUGGGCUCCUUGCUCCACAUCCUUCUUCAGUGGCACGAAGCGUGGGGUGGAGUGUGUGAGUCAUGUGUGAUCUUGGUGUGGGCUAUGGCUGGUCUGCAGCACCCCUUCAAUGACUGCUUCAAGGGCUUUUCAUGAUGCUUGUAGCUCAUGAGCUAGUGUUUCCUAGAUGCUGUUUCCAGGUGUCUUGCAUGUCACACACUGGCCUACCAGGGCUGGAGUGAGAUCAUGAGCGCCAGAUUGUUGGUGAAGGAAGUUGACAGAGACAUCGAAUGUCGGUGAACAGGAGUGACCUUGGGUCUCAAUAAAUACUGUGGUCAACUGAAUCCAGAACCCACCCUUACCAGCAGGGCCCACUUCUUCCCCAGCAGGCCGAGCUCUUCCCCUCCUGUCUUCCCUGGCCCUUGCUUUGUAGCUCUGUGUGGCUGUGUCAUGUCUGGUUGUAUCUGUAUAUACUUCUGCCUCUCCCGCUAUCUAGAUGGCUCGGGGAGGCACACCACACACCAGGUCACCUUCCUCUCUGAACCCCCAGCACCUCAUACUGUUUCUGUGCAGAGAUAAGGCUGGGUGAAAGCUUGUGUGAAUGAUCUGAAGUCUUCUACUCUAGGCCAGUCUCCAGGAGCAUUAUGAUCUUUAGGAGGGUGGGCUUGGUUCCUCUGUACAAUAAUGGGUCAUAAAACUGAGUGGUCAAGAUCAUCCCGGUGAGGGCAGUCCGUGUGUUGCCAUAGUUGCUGUACCGGUUAAGAAUGCACCUGGCUGCAAUUUCCUGAAAACCUGACGUAUAGUGGCUUAAACAAAGAGUGGUUUAUUUUCCUUCUGUCAUAGCAAUCUGGGGGAGGCCACUGUGGCUUUGGCGCAGGAGGUCGGGAAAGGCCCGCUUCUCUGAUAUCAUUGGGGGCCUCCCCAGUGCUUGUGUGGCAGAAUGACAAGAGGAAGAAGAAGGAGAAUUAUGGCACUGAGUAUCAUGAGAUUUGGGGUCAUAUAUCUUUAGUGGGCGGUGUUUGCUGCCCCAAAUGUCUCAUGCCAUUAAAAUGUUCUGGAAAUGAUUUAGGUAGUUGGAGUUUCCUUCCCAAAGACAAGGCAUUUACAGCAUGAUGUCCAAUAUCCAUUGAGUUUGUGUCAUGCAUUCAUUGUAUUCAUAGUCUGCUUUAGGUACUUAGCAAAAUAUUGCUGAUAUUAACAUGCCUUUGUUUGCUUCACUGGAGAUGAAAUUGUGCUCCAAGUGUUUUCCAAGGUUCCGUAUGACCCAUCAUUUGAUGAAACAAGAACAGCAGUCAGAUCCAUUACAAAGAGAGACACACAAAAAAGCUAUUCCCAACAGAAGAGCUUGAACAAUGCUGCAUUUGCAUCAGGUUCAAAUGAGCGAGAGGAACAUUUGGCUAAAAUAUUUGGAACCAGCAUUGCUUGGAAUUCUCCUAAACCAGAAUAUUUCCUUGGCAGUGUGGACAAAAUUCCUGAUAAAGAUCACCUUUCAGAGGAGAAGAAUUUUAAAGAAUCCUGUCUGUUCGACAGGGAUUUAAGAGAGCAGUUAACUACUAUAGAUAAAGAAACACUUCAAGGAGCAGCUAAACCAGAUCUCCUCUGGCAAACACGACAUAUAAUAUUUUUAUAAUGGAUGGAAAGACAUGGUGGCACAAUUCUGAAGAAAAAAAUUUCACAAAACUUGCAAAAAAACAGAAACAGUUGAAGAGCAGCUCCUGUGUCUAAGCCAGGUCGUGGGGCCGUCAAACCAGGACUUGAAACCACAAUGCGAGGACAUUCUCCAUCUGCGCACCACAGGGAGGCAAUUCCAUUUCUGCCCGGGAGGUGUAUUCUACAAAAACGUCUGCUUCCCAUCCCAAUUUGAAUGGACCAAGAAAAACUGCUUUACCAUAGGACACUUGUGGCAAUAUGGCACCGAUGGCUGGCGUCGGUGAACCCGACAGACUAUGGAUUUAUCAUUUAAUAAAGCAUUGAUUCAUUUUUUCAGUCAUUCAUUGAACAGAUAUUAAUAGACCACCUCACAUGCUGACAAUAUCAAAAUACAAUGAGGAAACUAACAGUGACCCAGGCAUGCAUUCUUCCCCGAGCAAGAUCACAGUCCAUGGUGUGAGCACAACCAUACUAAAUAGCUUUUAUGGGAGGUGGGAGUACAGAAAGUAUUAUAUCUGCAAAGAAACUGCUAAGAAUUGUGGGAGCGCCCCAGGAGGUGAUUUCCUGCUUGCGUGACCAGCACAAAGAAAUGGGGUAAUUGAGAGUGUCAUGAAGUGGGGUUAUUUAUUUAUUGAGUC
rnacentral:lncRNA from 10 species